GCCCAGCUAGCUCAGUCGGUAGAGAAUAAGACUCUUAAUCUCGGGAUCUUGGGUUUGAGCCCCAUGCUGUGCA